GUGUUGGAGUAGUCAGGCUGACAUUGUAGGUGCACUAACUGCUCUGACAUGGAGUCUAGAGUUUUUCAGUUCUCCCCAGGAAACCCCUAGUGCAUAACCCUGCAAAGGGAACUUCUUUUAAAAAAGAGAAAUUGUAGAAGAAAUGAAGUAUGUCACUGCUUUCACUUCUGUUUUCGUCCUGACUUCUUUUUCACUUUUCAUAUAACAUUUUCCACAAAUUUCAAUAUGUUUCACAUUGUUCCACAAUUAAUUGAUUUAUUUUAAUUUUUGGAGUAAGCAGAGUGAACAUGAAUUUAUUAAGGAAGAAAAGUGGGAGAAGAACUUCUGAGAGUUGGAGGGGUCCAAGGGAUAUUGGAAUGUUACUUUUACAUAUUUACAAAAUCAGUUCACGUAGACUGGACAAAGUGGUGCAGCCCUCAGGAGGUAGAGGCAGGUGGAUCUCUCUGAGUUCAAGGCCAGCCUGGUCUAUAUUGUGUGUUCUAAGACAGCAAGGUCUACAUAAGACCCUGGUUUGUUCUGUUUGUUUUGUUUUAAAUAUGGUAUAAUAAUGUAAUCCACAGAAUCAGGAAAAAAAUGUUUCUUGAGUUCCCUGAGAUGGCUUUGCUUAUCAAAGCCAGCUCUGGUGUAUGUGGAAAUUGACCUGACACUAAUGUAGUGAUGACAUAUAAAAGCGUAAGCACUUGUGUAAGCCUUUCCUAGAGGGGCAGGAGCCUUGUAGUUUUUCCCACCCUUGUUUGCCUUUCUGGUGAGUUUUGGGAGUCCUUUCUCAUUGAGUGUCCAAGUUAGACAGGAUCUAUCAGUUGAGUGUAAGGCAUUUACCAUCCAUUCUUGAGAGUAGCACGUAAGGCCGAAAGCACCAACAAGAAGCACGAUUCGAGCCAGGCAGUGCUGGCACACGCCUUUAAUCCCAGCACGCCAGAAGAAAGGAAGGCGGGUCUCUUGAGUUCCAGGUCAGCUUGGUCUACAGAUCAAGUUCCAGGACAGUCCGGGCUACACAGAGAAACUCUGUCUUGAAAAAUCAUUAGGUAAAUAAAUAAAUAAGUAAAAAUUAAGUAAGAAGGAAGAUGUAUAGGUAGCCUUAAUGUUAUUAACUAAGCAGUUACUGAACUAUGACUAAUAUUGAUCUCAAAGAACAAAAUAAAAGUAACCAGGGAGAUAGCUCAAUGGGUGAGGAUGCUUGCAGUGCAGGCUAGAUAAACUGAGUCUGAUCUUGGGAAUUCAUGGUGGAAGAAGAGCCAAUCAAGAAAGGUGUUCUCUGGGGUUGGGGAUCUAGCUCAGUGGUAGAGCGCUUGCCUAGGAAGUGCAAGGCCCUGGGUUCGGUCCCCAGCUCUGAAAAAAAGAACCAAAAAAAAAAAAAAAAGGUGUUCUCUGACGUCCAUACAUCAUUUUGAUACAUGUGUGAACUUGCACACACAUACCCCCACCCCCGACACAUAAAACAAUUCAACUGGAGAAAAGUGGUUCACUCUUUAAUCUCAGCAUUUGGGGGGCAGAGGCAGGUAAAUCUCUGUGAGUUUGAGACAAGUAUGGUCCAUAUAGCAAGACUCAGGCUAUCUAGGGCUAUGAGGUGAGAGACCUUGUAUUAAACCAGCCAGUCAACCAACCAACCAACCAACCAAGGAAGAUAAAAAUUCAUACAGGCAUGGAGCAAUAGUAGUUAGUCGUGGUACCCAGGGUCAAUUCCCAAUUACCACUGGUAAUGCCAGUUCUAGAGGAUUGACACCCUCUUUUAACUUCUAAGGGCACCAGACACGCACAUGGUGCACAUGCACAUAUGCAGGCAAAAUACACAUAUAUAAAAAAUAAAAUCUUGGGGUUGGGGAUUUAGCUCAGCGGUAGAGCACUUGGCUAGCAAGCGCAAGGCCCUGGGUUUGGUCCCCAGCUCCGGAAAAAAAAAAAAAGAAAAAAAAAUCUUAAAGAAAAAAAGAAAAGAGCAAUUUAGGAAAAAAAAACUCAUUUACAACUCCUCUCUCUCUCUCUCUCUCUCUCUCUCUCUCUCUCUCUCUCUCUCUCUCUCUCUCAUCUUGCUACUAGUCCAGGAUGAGUCCAACAAUACUUUUUAUUUCAAUCAAUGUAUGGUGGUAGUUUUAUGCACAACUGCAAUCCCAGCACCAGUCAGAGGCAAGAGGCUACUCUACACAAUGAGACCCCGCCUCAAAAACAAAAUAUUUUUAAAAUAGUCUCCUUUCAUUUCAUUUUAUUUUAUUCUUUCUUUCUUCUUUGAGACAGGGUCUCACUGUUUAGCUCUGACUGACUUGGGUCUUAUUGUGUAGGCCAGGCUGGCCUUGAACUCUCAGACCUGCCUGCCUCUGCUUCCUGAGUGGGGGAUUAGAGUGUUCCCAUCCUGACCUAUCCUCACUUUCAGGGUUGUCAUUUCUUUGUUGCUGUGCCAACAUGUCAUACCCUCGUGUCUUAAUCUGCAAAGUAGUAAUGAUAAUAAAUGUCAGUGGAGAUAUUUCCCAAUCUGUUUAGUAAUUUUUCUCUACUCAUCUGCUCUGGAAAGUUUUUUAAAACCCUCUGCUUUCUGGGUGGGGGUGACACAUGCAUUUAAUCCCAGCAUUUGGGAAGCAGAGGCAGGUGUAUCUCUUGUGAGUUCAAGGCCAGCCUAGUCUAUAGAGCAAGUUCUAGGACAGCCAAGGCUACACAUUGAAACCCUGUCUUGAAAACCAAAGCCCUCCUCUGCCAAAAAACAAAACAAAACAAAAUAAAGCAAAAAAAACCCUUUCUGCUCAUUCCUUCAAAGGGUAAAGGGUAAAAAGGUUCAAAUCAUAAAAAUAGAAUUUUUUUAAAAGAUUUAUUCAUUUAUUAUAUAUAAGUACACUGUAGCUGUCUUCAGACACACCAGAAGAGGGCAUUGGAUCUCUUUACAGAUGGUUGUGAGCCACCAUGUGGUUGCUGGUAAUUGAACUCAGAACCUCUGGAAGAGCAGUAGGGCGCUCUUAACCGCCGAACCAUCUCUCCAGCCCCCUAAAAAUAGAAUUUUUAGAAGCAUUACUCCUUCCUUAUUUUAUCCGCCAUGUUUCAUUUGUAUGCAGGUGCCAAAAGAGUCACCAGGCAAAUAAAAUAAGCUGCUUCCUCAUACACUGGAGCCUGGUGUCAGCAGCCUGAGCAGGGUCGAGGCUUGGGCUGGAGGUCAGGGACAAAGCUCUUCUGAAUCCUAGGCUUUUUGUUUUGUGUUAGCUAGCCUUCGUCACUCCUGCAAGAAUGUCUGGAAAUUAAAUAAGUCAAAAUAUAUAUAACUGAAAUUUCAGACCUGGCAACCACAGGUCCACACCCAGUGAUUGUUAUGUUUCUCUAGCACCCUCCAGGACCCUGCUUACGCACCGAUUUCUCCUGAGUAACAGCGUGUGGAGCCAAAGACCAUACAAGCAAGGAAACGAACUUUCUUGGGAUAAGAGAGACCACUUGGCAGAAAAAUGCUCUCUUUGUUCUCAUUCAAAUGACCUUUUCUCGGAUGGCAUUCAUGUCUGAAGCUUCCUAUAUUCCUUCGAUUCUCCAAGAUCCUUGUGAGGAGAGCAGAAGGAGAACACAGUGACCCCAAGGAAGUAGUCCACAGCGGAAGGGCACAGAAAUGGUGGUAGAGGGCUCAAGUGACAUCGCAGAGGAGGGCAGCGGUGCCACCAAGAAUGUGAAAAAGGCGCUGUUGAAAGGGAGGUUCAUAAGCUGUCCAAACCAGGGUCAUAAGCUCCCAGAAAAGUGGCUAUAAUUUCUGCUGAUGAAUUGGAGGAAAUUUGCAAUAAGGAAAAAUACACCCAUCUGAAAAGAAA